rnacentral:rRNA from 1 species
GAUGAACGCUGGCGGCGUGCCUAAUACAUGCAAGUCGAGCGAACAGACGAGGAGCUUGCUCCUCUGACGUUAGCGGCGGACGGGUGAGUAACACGUGGAUAACCUACCUAUAAGACUGGGAUAACUUCGGGAAACCGGAGCUAAUACCGGAUAAUAUAUUCAACCGCACGGUUCAAUAGUGAAAGACGGUUUUGCUGUCACUUAUAGAUGGAUCCGCGCCGCAUUAGCUAGUUGGUAAGGUAACGGCUUACCAAGGCAACGAUGCGUAGCCGACCUGAGGGGGUGAUCGGCCACACUGGAACUGAGACACGGUCCAGACUCCUACGGGAGGCAGCAGUAGGGAAUCUUCCGCAAUGGGCGAAAGCCUGACGGAGCAACGCCGCGUGAGUGAUGAAGGUCUUCGGAUCGUAAAACUCUGUUAUUAGGGAAGAACAAAUGUGUAAGUAACUAUGCACGUCUUGACGGUACCUAAUCAGAAAGCCACGGCUAACUACGUG